UGGGGAAUAUUGGACAAUGGGCGCAAGCCUGAUCCAGCCAUGCCGCGUGUGUGAAGAAGGCCUUUUGGUUGUAAAGCACUUUAAGCGAGGGGGAGGCUACUUGGAUUAAUACUCUAGGAUAGUGGACGUUACUCGCAGAAUAAGCACCGGCUAACUCUGUGCCAGCAGCCGCGGUAAUACAGAGGGUGCGAGCGUUAAUCGGAUUUACUGGGCGUAAAGCGUGCGUAGGCGGCUUCUUAAGUCGGAUGUGAAAUCCCUGAGCUUAACUUAGGAAUUGCAUUCGAUACUGGGAAGCUAGAGUAUGGGAGAGGAUGGUAGAAUUCCAGGUGUAGCGGUGAAAUGCGUAGAGAUCUGGAGGAAUACCGAUGGCGAAGGCAGCCAUCUGGCCUAAUACUGACGCUGAGGUACGAAAGCAUGGGGAGCAAACAGG
rnacentral:rRNA from 1 species